AUUGAACGCUGGCGGCAUGCCUUACACAUGCAAGUCGAACGGCAGCGGGGGAUAAGCUUGCUUUUCCUGCCGGCGAGUGGCGAACGGGUGAGUAAUACAUCGGAACGUGCCCUGUAGUGGGGGAUAACUAGUCGAAAGAUUAGCUAAUACCGCAUACGACCUGAGGGUGAAAGUGGGGGACCGCAAGGCCUCAUGCUAUAGGAGCGGCCGAUGUCUGAUUAGCUAGUUGGUGGGGUAAAGGCCUACCAAGGCGACGAUCAGUAGCUGGUCUGAGAGGACGAGCAGCCACACUGGGACUGAGACACGGCCCAGACUCCUACGGGAGGCAGCAGUGGGGAAUUUUGGACAAUGGGCGAAAGCCUGAUCCAGCAAUGCCGCGUGUGUGAAGAAGGCCUUCGGGUUGUAAAGCACUUUUGUCCGGAAAGAAAUGGCUCUGGUUAAUACCUGGGGUCGAUGACGGUACCGGAAGAAUAAGGACCGGCUAACUACGUGCCAGCAGCCGCGGUAAAAC
rnacentral:rRNA from 1 species